AAAUGCAUGUACUUUCAACCUAAAUCCCUAGAGAAGCGGCCGCUAACCGAUCGAUCCUCCAAAAUUCAGAAGGUAAAAUUCGACCGUACCGAAAAUCCCUAGUGACGGCGAAGCUAAAAUUCUGAAGGUUACAAUGAAUUAAACUCAUAAAGGUUGCAAAGAGGAGACGACGAAUCUCAAAAUCCCUAAAAACGGUGCUACCUCCUUCAAAAUUCAGAAGGUGAAAAAACUCAGAAAGGUUGCAAAGAGCGAGGCGCCACUUCGUCGUUAUCGUUGAGAGCUCUGUUCAGAACGUACUCUGUUUAAUUUAUUCUUUGGAGGCCUUAAUCCAAAGUACUUUACACAAAUUAUACUAUUGGAUUAUCCGCCCAAACAAG
rnacentral:lncRNA from 1 species